CUCUACUUCAGCCCUUCAUUUCCUGGUAGCCACUGAGCUGCCCCAUGGACACUGGGCAGAUGGCCAGUGUUAGCUGGGAAGGACAGCAGCAGCCGCAGAGGUGGCAGCAAGGCCAGGGCACUUUGCAGACGGCAUGGACGGGUGACGCCUUCUGGGCCCCAUCUGUCCUUCCUCACAGCACCCUCAGCACCUUAAGCCACCACCCUCAGCCACAAUUUGGCAGAAGGAUGGAGUCCAAGGUCU
rnacentral:lncRNA from 1 species